GUUAGGAAUAUUGGACAAUGGGCGAAAGCCUGAUCCAGCCAUGCCGCGUGAACGAUGAAGGCCUUCGGGUUGUAAAGUUCUUUAGCCGAUGAUUAUAAUGACUGUAGUCGGAAAAUAAGCCCCGGCUAACUUCGUGCCAGCAGCCGCGGUAAUACGAAGGGGGCGAGCGUUAUUCGGAAUCACUGGGCGUAAAGCGUGCGUAGGCGGUUUUGUAAGUUAGGAGUGAAAGCCCAGGGCUCAACCUUGGAAUUGCUCUUAAAACUGCAAGGCUCGAAUCUCGGAGAGGAUAGCGGAAUUUCCAGUGUAGCAGUGAAAUGCGUAGAUAUUGGAAGGAACACCAGUGGCGUAAGCGGCUAUCUGGACGAGUAUUGACGCUGAGGCACGAAAGCGUGGGGAUCAAACAGGAUUAGAAACCCCUGUAGUCC
rnacentral:rRNA from 1 species